rnacentral:rRNA from 1 species
UACAGAGGUCUCAAGCGUUGUUCGGAUUCAUUGGGCGUAAAGGGUGCGUAGGUGGCGCGGUAAGUCGGGUGUGAAAUUUCGGAGCUUAACUCCGAAACUGCAUUCGAUACUGCCCGUGCUUGAGGACUGGAGAGGAGACUGGAAUUUACGGUGUAGCGGUGAAAUGCGUAGAUAUCGUAAGGAAGACCAGUGGCGAAGGCGGGUCUCUGGACAGUUCCUGACGCUGAGGCACGAAGGCCAGGGGAGCAAACGGG